CCUACGGGGGGCAGCAGUGGGGAAUAUUGGACAAUGGGGGGAACCCUGAUCCAGCCAUGCCGCGUGUGUGAAGAAGGCCCUCGGGUUGUAAAGCACUUUCAGUGAGGAAGAACGCCUGGUGGUUAAUACCCAUCAGGAAAGACAUCACUCACAGAAGAAGCACCGGCUAACUCCGUGCCAGCAGCCGCGGUAAUACGGAGGGUGCGAGCGUUAAUCGGAAUUACUGGGCGUAAAGCGCGCGUAGGUGGCUGAUAAGCCGGUUGUGAAAGCCCCGGGCUCAACCUGGGAACGGCAUCCGGAACUGUCAAGCUAGAGUGCAGGAGAGGAAGGUAGAAUUCCCGGUGUAGCGGUGAAAUGCGUAGAGAUCGGGAGGAAUACCAGUGGCGAAGGCGGCCUUCUGGACUGACACUGACACUGAGGUGCGAAAGCGUGGGUAGCAAACAGGAUUAGAUACCCGUGUAGUC
rnacentral:rRNA from 1 species